GAGUGAAAUGAUGAUUUGGAUAGUUUCCCUAUUGGUUUGAUGGCCAGGAUGAUGGCUUCAUUUUGUAUUAGCUCUAUCUGAUCACUC